rnacentral:rRNA from 1 species
CUUGCUUCUCUUGAGAGCGGCGGACGGGUGAGUAAUGCCUAGGAAUCUGCCUGGUAGUGGGGGAUAACGUUCGGAAACGGACGCUAAUACCGCAUACGUCCUACGGGAGAAAGCAGGGGACCUUCGGGCCUUGCGCUAUCAGAUGAGCCUAGGUCGGAUUAGCUAGUUGGUGGGGUAAUGGCUCACCAAGGCUACGAUCCGUAACUGGUCUGAGAGGAUGAUCAGUCACACUGGAACUGAGACACGGUCCAGACUCCUACGGGAGGCAGCAGUGGGGAAUAUUGGACAAUGGGCGAAAGCCUGAUCCAGCCAUGCCGCGUGUGUGAAGAAGGUCUUCGGAUUGUAAAGCACUUUAAGUUGGGAGGAAGGGUUGUAGAUUAAUACUCUGCAAUUUUGACGUUACCGACAGAAUAAGCACCGGCUAACUCUGUGCCAGCAGCCGCGGUAAUACAGAGGGUGCAAGCGUUAAUCGGAAUUACUGGGCGUAAAGCGCGCGUAGGUGGUUUGUUAAGUUGGAUGUGAAAUCCCCGGGCUCAACCUGGGAACUGCAUUCAAAACUGACUGACUAGAGUAUGGUAGAGGGUGGUGGAAUUUCCUGUGUAGCGGUGAAAUGCGUAGAUAUUG